rnacentral:rRNA from 1 species
AUUGAACGCUGGCGGCAGGCCUAACACAUGCAAGUCGAGCGGAGCGGCGGACGGGUGAGUAAUGCCUAGGAAUCUGCCUGGUAGUGGGGGAUAACGUCCGGAAACGGGCGCUAAUACCGCAUCCUAUCAGAUGAGCCUAGGUCGGAUUAGCUGGUGGGUGGGGUAAAGGCCUACCAAGGCGACGAUCCGUAACUGGUCUGAGAGGAUGAUCAGUCACACUGGAACUGGGACACGGUCCAGACUCCUACGGGAGGAAGAAGUGGGGAAUAUUGGACAAUGGGCGAAAGCCUGAUCCAGCCAUGCCGCGGAGGUGAAGAAGGUCUUCGGAUUGAAAAGCACUUUAAGUUGGGAGGCGUUACCAACAGAAUAAGCACCGGCUAACUACGUGCCAGCAGCCGCGGUAAUUC